UUUUCUCUUCCUCAACUUCUCCUUUUUUUUCUUCUCCGCUUUUGUUUCUCCUCCUUUAUUCUUUUGCAUCCAUGUCGUUUUUGUUUCUCUUCCUUUAUUCUUUUGCGUCCAUUCAUAUUUUGUUUCACGUUAAUAUUCUAUUUUUCCCUUUUUUGUCUAAUUUUUUGUGGUUUGAUUUUUAGGACAGUCUAACGAUGGUGCUGAAGGUUACGAGGCUUUGCCCAUGGAAGAGUUGGGAUAGGUUACUAAAGAAUAAAGGUUACGACGCUUUGCCCAUGGAAGGGUUGCAACAAUAGGACUCGAGGUUACUGUUCUUUUUCGAGAGAAGUUGGAAGAACACAUUAAAACUGUCAUUUUUAUCUCAAAAGCUCCAUGACUACAGAGAAGGUGGAUGAACACAUUAAAGUUGCGAUUUUUAUCCCAAAAACUUCAUCAGUACACAAAAGCUUAAAUUUUUUUGGGUGUUCUGCCUUUAUUUUGUUUUCUACAUGAGUACAGG